rnacentral:lncRNA from 1 species
CCUCGACCGCUUCGUUAUAACUCCGGAAGUAGCCGCCGCCGGGGAGGAGGAGGUCGUUGCGAGAGUGGCGUAUUCUGGAGGAGCAGAUUUGGGGACGAUCUUAAGAAAAGGAUAAACCAGGUGCGGGGAACCUUCUCUGGCGACGGAAAACCCUUCUGGCCGAGACCUUUUCUUUGUGGGUACAGUAGGAAAAACCUUGUUAAAUACAGACGAAGCUUCGUUGAAAAUUAUCACACGCUCCCUGCAACAAUAACAAAAAUUCAAUUAGGUAAACAGAACUCCAAACAAAAUGUAUCAACUCAUCGUAAUAAACUACCUGGCCUUCACGAUGUUUUCCCGUAGACCAGCCUUUAGUCUUUUGAUCUCUUCUGGUAUAGGGGAUGGAGUUAACUUCCCUCUCGGAGUUGUGCUUGGAGAUUCAUCCCCUUGAAUUCCAAGGCCAAUAUUCACAUGACGCUUAAAGUCACCUUGACGAACAGACUUGUGAUCUGCGGCAACCACCUUAGGAUCAAAACGCAAACACUGGAAGAAAUUUGUAACAUCGGUUUGUGCUAAUGGUGAAGUGGUCCUCAACAUGCUCGCGUGAGAAGAUGAGACAGGUUGCUCCAUAGUCUCGCGAAAGCUACUAGAUCUUGCCAUCUGUGAAGCUAAGUUAGACCUGUAUAAAGGCCUAUCUGGUCCACCAGAAGAAUAAUCAGACUUCCCAGGUGCUGACAUUCCCUUAUCUUUAGCAAGUCCACUGUUUUAUUUAUACAAAAAUAUACACGCAGUAGCACAUGACAAACUUGCAGAGUUGCAGGACAUAUAUGCUAAAUUCUCAGCUGUCGCGUUGAUUAGAAGACGCACCUGCAAAGGGACACAAAACGGAAGCAAAACCUCAGUGAAAAUCCCCCAGAACAAUUAACCAGGAGAAUGGAAUUGGAAGACAAACAAUAUAUUCGUAAGUAAAAGACAUAAAUUCAUUUGUACUAGCCAAGUCUUAAAAAUCGAAAAAAAAAUAUACAAAACUCUCAAAACUAUACAUAAAUAGAAACACAAGGACUCAUAAGUGUGCCGGAAUCAUGUUCAGAGCCAUAGCAUGGCAUAUUAUAUUUCUUCUACUACCACCCAAUUGAAGAGCUUAAACCAAUAAUCAAAAAAAAAUCUACAAAAUUUAGCAAAUGUACAAAAAUGGGAAAAGUAAUAGUAAACUGGAAAGUGAAGUAAACAAGAAUAUAGAUCCAGUUGAAAUGUGUUCAAAGAUCUUAUAAUUUCACUUCUUAUUAAUCUAAAACAUACGAUAGAGUUAGAGAGUGACAAAAACACCAAUACCUAUCAUCAACAACACCUUAAUCAAUUUGAUAAGAAAGAAAGAUAUAAUUCCUUUAAAUGCCUUCGUAAUCCACAUUGCCUACUAAUCAUAAAACUAAAAUGCCUCAACUUCAGACAUAUAUGAUUUUCAAUUUACUCUUCUCUUGAAAAAUUCGUGUUUUCAAAAUUCAUUGCAACAAAACGCCCAAUAAACUAAAAUUAACCAUAAUUCAAAGCUUAAUAUAAUCAAACGAAAGCUCUUCAACACAAUAAAACCCUAGAAGAGAAGUGAAUCAACAAUCAUAGACGAAGUCAAUCAUCUUCAAUGAGAAGAGAAAUCCACAGAAACGGAGCCCUAGAACCCGGAUCAAACUUCAGAGAUCAAAGAAGAGAACAAACCUUCGAAUCAAAAUCACGAAAAAGUUUUCCAGCAGUUACAGAAUCUCUCCCACAAGUCACGGAGUUAAUGAGAGAUUGGAUCGUUCAAAGGAAGAGCUCGAAAUCGAAAUCGAAAUCGAAAUCAAACGAGGUCCCUGCAACAGCCAUGAGAGGACGGGAUCGAGACGAACCGCGCGUUCCUUGGUUUCCUGUUUUUGAUCGGCAAUGGGGGAAAAUUGGCUGUUAUCAAAUUACGAUAUUACCCAUUGGAUAAACUUAGGGAAGAUCGGUCCCCCUAUGAUGAGUGUAGGGGUAACUUGGUAAUAUAGAGUCAAAUGGCUUUUCUCUAAGCUGUGACGAUUGACGAAUGACGAAUGACGAAUGACGAAUGACGAAUGACGAAUGACGAAUAAGGGUUGGGCACAAAUAUUUGUUAUUUGUUUUAUACCCGUUAUUUUAUCCGUAUUCGUCUUGCUGGUUGGAAUUAACAAGUAUCAUAAAAAAGUUCUGACUCGUCUUGAUAUUACUUGAUACUUGUUUUACAACUAAAAAAAUGAUAAUUAAACCAUAAAAAUCAAAGCUCUAAACAAAUAUUUUUUUGUUGUAAAAAGUAAACAAUACUUUCUUAUAGAAUUCUAUCUUUUUCUUUUUUUAUAUCAGGUGAAAAUAUUUUAUUUAAAAUAACUCUCGUGUUUUUACCAAGUCGAGUAGAUAAAACAAACUUUCGUAACCUUCUCACGUAAAAUAUUAUCUAUCAAGUAAUUUUUAGAAAUUUGGAAAUAUAUCCAAGUAAUUAAUAAAUACUUGUAAGUAGCAAGUAAUCGAACAAGGCAAGUAACAUAUUUUUGGACAAGGACUCGAAAUAACAAGUACUCGUUUCCGACAAGUCAAGUACAAGUCGAAAAAUUCGUUAUUCGUUCAAGGCAAGCCAAGUAUUGUCCGAACAAUAGGAUAAUAUCAAUUAAUAAACUGUAUAUAUAUUGUCCGAACAAUUGGAUAAUAUCAAUAAAUAAAAUAUUAUUUCUAUUUAAACUUUCUCUCCUUCAAAAUUUACAUUUCUUUCACUCAAAUCUAAAAAUAUUUCAUCCUUUGAUGUCAUCUUGACUGCAAUCAGAUUUGUACAAUGCAACUACAUCAUUUGAAGUCGUAAUUAGGAUCCUUAAGAUUAAAUAUUGUUGAAUUAUUACUAAUGAGUAUUGACUAGUUUUCUCCACCCAAAAACGUGUGUUAUUGACUAAUAAUCAUUGGUCUUAUCUAUUAAAUAAAUAUCCAGUUAAUUUUAAAAUAUGUUCAAGAUAUAGAUUCUGUAUAUAAAUAAACAGAAGAAAGGAUUCGCUGGAAUAAUAUCUUCAACCAACUAAACAUGAAACUAAAGAUGGACUCCUGGAAGAAGAGUUUGAGUUAGCAAAAUGAAAUUUAUGAUGAGGUAGUGUUAAAUGUUGUUCACAAAUAUAGUUUACCAACAUUUAACAUUAAUUCUAAAAAUUAAUUCCGCAUAUGCCAUGUGAAAAAAGAUAAAUGCAUGUGAGAUGGUUGUAUUACCCUUAAUUACAUCCAAAAAUAGAAAAAAAGUGAUUAAGGAGCAUGCUUAUCUCUGAUGAUGACACUAACAUGUUAAACAUAUAACAGAUCCCAUAUUAACAUUCUUACAGAACUUACAACAAUGAUUGGGAAACACAGAACUCUUUUGCUCGUUUCAACACACGCAGAAGAUGAGAUUGUUCCAUUUGUGACACAUUCAAAGGUAUAUAUGUAUACACAUUAACAUAUGCUAACUCUUGUUUUAUCACCAACAAUGAUUUUUUAAUGGUGACAGGAAGUAGAACGAGGAGGAUCUCCGUACGACCUUCAUGUUUUUUGUGGUAAGUACAAAACGCUUUCAUUUGUAGUUAGUAGUUACUAUUGGAAAUCAUAGGACUCUUAGUUUUACUAAUCAAAUGCCAGACUCAAAUGAUUGAAGAUACCUUGAUAACUGGACUCUAAGAGUGUGGCCUAUCUCCACGAGAUCAUGCGACUCUGUUUUAGCAUGCCAUAUUGGGCCAAUACAAUCUGUUGAAUACUCCACACCGGACAAAAGGAUUAUAGUCACAUGUCCAUGAUAAUCUCAGCUACACCAGUUCUGGAAAUAACUAUUGAAAAAGCAUCGUGAUGUGUGAUGUGCAUAGUUUAAGAAGUUGUUGAAGUUAUUAUGCAUAUGCCUUCCUGAAUGAAGAUCCCACAUAUUCACGAUCCUGAAUAUUAUUUGAUCAUUAUAGCUAAACCUGUAAGUGAAAUUUAAUACAUCAAAUCCAUAUUUUAUUUGUGCUAUUAUAACAUACAUAACAUUCAUAUUGUGUAGGAGGGGGACUAUUCCAGAAAACACCAAAUCCUCUUUGUGAAGAUUAUAUGAUGUCUCAAAAAAGAUGAAAGAACCCAUGUUGUUACUGAUUUUCAUCGUCAUUCUAUGUUGACUUAUAUUACUAUAAACUAAGUGGAUAGAGAAAAUGGUCUUCUGCCCACAUGAAAUUCAACAAAGCUCUUGACUGGAGUUGUAAUAUACACAGUGAGCUAUCUCGUAAUUGUUGAUUUCUUUCUCCCUUUCUCCCUGUAUAUAUGACAUUGUUAUCUUUUCUUUGUCUUGGUUUCUUUUGGGGUCAGAUGAGAUGAGGGGCGGGAGGUGAGGGAUGGAGAUGGCUACAUGAGAGGAUCAGAUGCAAGGAUCGAGCGGAAAAAGAUAAAUUUUUUGUUUUUGUUCGCCGGAGGCGAGUAAGAGAGAAAGAAAGGCGUAGCGGAUUGGGAGUGUAUCAAUGAUGAAAUGGUCUAACACAUGAGCCAUCUUUCCAUUUCUGAGCGUUCCAUGUACCUCACUGCAUAUAUAUUUGGUAAGACUUGCUUACUUGGCAGCAUACUGAUCAAAUGUAAACCUCAAUUCUAUUUUCCGGAGGUUUCCUAUGCCUCUAGAUAGUGUGUUUGGCCUUGAUUAUUGUACGAAGGAGGUGUAUGAUAAAGGGUAUAUCUUUUGUUAGUGGGGUUCAUGGUAAGGCGUGUUUCUGGAACGAGAGAGCUGAGGAAAGAUUUAACGAAUAAGGUACAAUCUUCAUUUCAUAAACAAAGUCCUUGGGUUUGGUUUUAAACGUGUUUCUGACAUGUCAUGUCACUUAUUUGGUCUCACACUCUCAAUGAGUCGGCUUGCUACAACCUAGGAUCCGUGGCACUUGGUUAACUCAUUGUCUCUUUUGUAGAGUCUGGUGCCAGUAGCGGCGACAAGCGACGGCGCAGCUUGCUGGAGAAGCCACUCGAUGGUUUCGCCGUCGGAUUUAUGACCGAGCUCUCCGGUUAACUGAAAAAGCCUAGCGGCGCAAAGAGCAGGUAUCCUGAGUCGCCGUCCUUUUCCGUCGUCUUUCCUCGACCGCUUCGUUAUAACUCCGGAAGUAGCCGCCGCCGGGGAGGAGGAGGUCGUUGCGAGAGUGGCGUAUUCUGGAGGAGCAGAUUUGGGGACGAUCUUAAGAAAAGGAUAAACCAGGUGCGGGGAACCUUCUCUGGCGACGGAAAACCCUUCUGGCCGAGACCUUUUCUUUGUGGGUACAGUAGGAAAAACCUUGUUAAAUACAGACGAAGCUUCGUUGAAAAUUAUCACACGCUCC